rnacentral:lncRNA from 1 species
UUCAAACCGAAUUUAUCAGGAAUUGCUACAUGGAGAUGUUAACUGGGUUUUGGAUGAUCUAAGGAUUCAAAGUUUUAUAGGAAAAUAUAUUUUUCUUGUGAAGCUGGUCACAAAAUUUUUGUACGUGGGUGCUUGGUGGGUGGGCUUUAGGAGAAAAUUUAAUUUAUAGCGUUUGAGUUUUUUUUUUUUUAAUCUAUUUUUUUUACGUUUUUUUUUUAUAAAUUACAAGAAAUUUUAAGAUAGCACGACAAUGUAUUCGAACUCAGGACCUCAAGCCUUGAACAUUAAUUAUCUACUCUUAGGCCAACACAAGAACACUUGACAUUUAAUUUCUUGAUAAUAUGAAUGUGGGUUGUUUUGGUUUUAGGAUGAAUGAGCAUGACUAGAGUUUAAGAAAAGUUGAAAAAGGCAAAAUGGGAUAUACUAUUUUUGAAAGAUGAAACAUAAAAUAUACCCACUUUUUUCAAAAUAAUAAAAUCUAUCCAUUUAGGACAUUUUUACCCUUAUGUUUAAUUCGCACAUUGCUCGACACUGAAGCAUCGAGCGUCGAGCAUUGAACUGUCGAGCAUCGCGCGUCGAGCAACUAAGAAUUGUCGAGCAAGGCGAGCAAUAGUUCAAAUUGAACUAUUUCUCUACACCUCAAGCAUCGAGCAACUAGGAACUGUCGAGCAAGGCGAAGGCGUCGAGCGUCGAGCAUUGAACUGUCGAGCAUGGUGAGCAAGGAAGGGGAUUUGUUUGGUAUUUUCUUUUUGUGUUAAGAGUAUUUUAGUCAUUUCAAUCUUAAAAUGGGUACAUUUUAUACAUUUUUUUUAUAAUGGAUAUAUUUUUAUUUGGGCUUACUACCAUUAACCAAGUUGAAAUGGGUUUACAGCGUUUCUAGUUGGGCUUCUAACUUCUUGUGAGGUUCAAAAGUACUCGUUCAUUCACACACGAGAUAUUUUAUUUUAAUUAAAUUGUGUUUCAUGUCUUAUUCCUAUGUCACCCACGGUCACGAAAUAUUUGAAGACAAAUAAUUAUAAUUUAGAGCCCUAA